UUUGCAGUGGCAAAUCGAUACGACCAGCUCCUGUCGAACUCCCCCAGGGCCGGAAGGCAGCAAGGGUAGAUAGUCGUAGCGGUGCGAUGUUGGUUUGCCAUUUU
rfam:Reichenbachiella faecimaris strain DSM 26133 genome assembly, contig: Ga0069982_11